AAGUUCAGAAAAUACGUAAUUAACUUGUGUCAAAGGCUUGUGAUGCGUUGUGAUAGCUGGGUUUAAGAAGCACAAUAUUAAAACAAAAGCCACGAGUCUAAGCCCAGCGUGUAAAGACACACACUGAGUUAUAACUCAGCGGCACAACU